AGAUUUCUGUGUAAACUUAAUGCUCCUCUUGCCGUUUGUCGUGUGAAUAUGAAUUUGAACGUUUCCUCUUCGCACCUUUUAGCCCAACGGUCAUUUGCUUUGAAUGGAUGCCUUUGCUAGCCGUUGCCCCUUACCUUUUUCCCUCCUAUAAAUACGAGGUCUCUCUGCUCCUCCCAGGGCACUCGCGUCUCAUUCACCCUUCUGUAUUCUCUUCGACCGUUUGCAGAUUUCAACCUAGAAGAAAA
rnacentral:lncRNA from 1 species